ensembl:lncRNA
GCUUCGCAGUAAUCAAUGUGUUUUCCUUGUCGUUUCAGCGCCAUGACGUUUGUUUCCAGUGAAAUGACGGAAGAACAGCCAUUUCUUUCCCCCAGUGGGAUAGCUUUUAGAUGAGCCAUACCAAUACAUCGUUAGUCAUUGAUAGGUUUUUAACCUCUGCGGGGGGAGUUGUGAUUUAUGGAUUGAGACGUGCAUUUGUCUGUCGGUUAAUAUGAGCCUAGCGUGGAAGACGAGCAACAGCAGAAGCACUUAUUUCGUAAUGUCCUGAAAGAGAGGGGAGGCAUUUUUUUUAUUAUUCUGCUAAUGCUGUGGUUUUCCUGCGUCCUGUCCUCAUCGACCGGGUUGCUCAGAACACUUAGCUCCGGGUCCACCCUGUGCCGCGUAAUUGGUUUUGCCACAUUCCGUGGUAAUGCCACGGGGCUCUCUGUGUUUGAAUGUAGGUGACUUUGACAGGAAAUUAGAUGAGAACACGUACAGAGGUUUGUAGGAGAGCGUUGGUCCGGCUCAUGGUUGGUGUGGAGUUCAUGCGUAGCUGUAUGGAAAUGGGUUCUUGUGAUGCUCCUUUUCCUCUCCUUCUCCCUGUUUUCUCUUUCACACCUUUUUCUUUACCUUUAUCCAAGGCCUUUCUCUCCACCCCUUUCUUUUCCUCCUUUCUCUCCUCCUACUCCUCCUCCUCUCCUCCUGUCCUCCUGUCCUCCCACCCACCACCCCUCUCGUCCCCUGGUUGCGUGAGAUGAGAGUGGGAUGGGUGGUACCAUCAUGAGCCACUCCAAUCGCCCAGUGGAGGAACAGAGGAACCAUGUUUUGACAGAUUUGUGCCCAGGGUUCCACGGCACGUUAUGCUCCUAUUUUACUGUCGGAAAAGAGCAAAUCCCUCCCUCUCCUCCCUCUCCUCCCUCUCCUCCCUCUCCUCCCUCUCCUCCUCUGCCCUUCCUAACCUCCCAUGAUCCUUUCUGUCCACAAGCCCUGAAGUCACAGCAACGCAGGAUUCAUAGAUCUGACUCAGCUAAAAAAUGAUUAUGCAUCUCAGAGUUGGCUGUUAGGGGUUAUAAUUUUCUGUAGGACAAUACCAGCUGUGUAGUCGACGUGUAUAUUUUGGAUUGUAUGCAGAGAUGAUUUCAGAAUUGACUCUCAGUCAGAAUAACAUGGAUAAUCUGUAGAGCCGCUUCCAAUUUUACAUUUACAUUAGAGCCAUUAACUGGCGCUCUGACCCGCAACAGCUAACGGGGGCAAUUAGGGUUAAGUGCCUUGCUCAAGGGCACAUCCACGUGUUUUUCACCUUGUCAGCUGACGGUAGUGUUAAGGUGUGUUGAGGUAGUUGUGGUACGGAUCGCCAUGGGCGCGGUGUCCCUCCCCGGUCCUACAUGUGGACAAGUCUGGCCGGCUAUGGAGCUGCCAUUUUGACCUUGUGAUCAGCCCAGGCCUUCUGCGGUCAUAACAUCUCAGAGAAGACCAGCAAGAGGGACAGUGAACCCUGGCCGGUCUAUGUCUCACCCUAUUCCCUCUGCACCCUAUUCCCACUGCAUUCUAUUCCCACUGCACCCUAUUCCCACUGCAUUCUAUUCCCACUGCACCCUAUUCCCACUGCAUUCUAUUCCCACUGCACUCUAUUCCCAUUGUACCCUAUUCCCAAUGCAUUCUAUUCUCACUGCACCCUAUUCACAUUGCAUUCUAUUCUCACUGCACCCUAUUCCCACUGCAUUCUAUUCCCACUGCACCCUAUUCCCACUGCAUUCUAUUCCCACUGCACCCUAUUCCCACUGCAUUCUAUUCCCACUGCACUCUAUUCCCAUUGUACCCUAUUCCCAAUGCAUUCUAUUCUCACUGCACCCUAUUCACAUUGCAUUCUAUUCUCACUGCACCCUAUUCCCACUGCAUUCUAUUCCCACUGCACUCUAUUCCCAUUGUACCCUAUUCCCAAUGCAUUCUAUUCUCACUGCACCCUAUUCCCAUUGCAUUCUAUUCCCACUGCACCCUGUCUACUGCACUCAUGGGCCCUGGUGUCUGCAUGCAGCCAGUGGACGUCAGAAGCAGUGCACAAUCUAAAGGGCAGAAGGUGCCCUGGGACUCUCACUACCUCCUCUCCUCUUCUUCCCCUGUCCUUUCUUCAUCCUUUCCCUCCUUCACUCAGUCUCACUCUCAUACAGUUACAAUGUUAGUUGACAUGAUGGGCCAGCGUCGUAGGGUUUGACAUCCGGCUUUGUGAUGGUAAUGUGUCUGGUUUCUUCCCUCCACUAGAUGCUGUUAUGGAUGUCCUAACAGUGUACUCCGGUCAUUUGGAAUAAAAUUGUUUAUGACGUGCUUGGCGUUUCCUGCUAAAAGUUAUACAUGAUCAUCUGGGCGUGUUUCCCAGACCCAGAUGGGAUGUAGUCCUGGAAUCUCUAGGGAGCUUGUUUUUUGGUCCUGGACUUGAGGAGCUUUAGUUAAUUUAUGUGUGCAGAUGCCAUAUCGUAAUUUUAACCAGUGACAAGAAACUUAAAUUAAUAUGUGCAUUAUAACAAAUGGUAUGUUUGGUGUUUUUGUAAAAAUCGAAUCUGAAAGGUUCAUAGUGGAUAAUGCUUCUGAAGCCAUUUUAAACUUAAAAUAUACUACGAGUUUAACAUUUCCUGCAUUGUUGGUUCUCCAAGUUGGACAAAGUACAGUCUUUCUUUCAGUCAGGCUGAGCCUCCCCCAAAGCAAACUCCUUCGGUUGAUUGGCUGAGCCUCCCCUAAAUCUCACUCCUUCUGUUGAUUGGCUGAGCUUCCCCUAAAUCUCACUCCUUUUGUUGAUUGGCUGAGCCUCCCCUAAAGCUCACUCCUUCUGUUGAUUGAUUAAGCAUCUGGUUGGUGUGAACCAGCUGUGGUGUGACUCCUCCCUAUCAGGGCACAGUGAAGCAUUACUCUGAACGAUGUCUAUCUGAAUAUGAAAAACAAUGAUGACAAGUAAUAAUAUUUUUUGUUAAACUUCUGACUGUCUGUGUGUGUACAGUACGUUUGUGUACUCUGGGUGUUCCGGUGUUUAUGGUUUCAUUUCUUUACACGAAAAGUGACAUGAACUCUGUUUUGUCUCUGAAAAAUAUUCUUUUCUGUAAAUAACUGUUGGUGAAAUUUAUGAACUAUUUGUUUGUUGUACGCCGAAAAAUGUUUUCCUUUGUCACUUUAACUGAUAGAGAACACAAUGACAAUAUUUCCGAUGAUGAUGACAGAGGUGUUGAUGAUGAAGGUCACAACUGCCCUUCUUGAACAAGGGUUGUUGACGUCCGCCGUAUGCUCUGCUGGAGGAGAGAGAGAGAGAGACCGUGGACAAGAGAGACCAGCACACCACAUGUCACCAAGCCCUCUAUGUUCUCUCCAUAAACCGUCACAAUUACAAACAUCAACAAAUAUUUUGUCCUUGUAGGUGAGUUAGACACAUAUUACCUGGGAACCUAAUGGUCACGUGAGACUGGCAGACACACCGCCAUGAGUCUCUGCCUCCCAGUCCAGUCUAAUUAAACUAGCCUGGGCGUUGGAUCACCAAACGUGUUGAAAACAGUCAGACAAAGCAUUUAGACUGCUCCGUGUGUUAAUCACAUAGAAUCUGAAGCACCGCUUGAGGUUUAUGACCACAGCAAACAACUCCCCAGGUGGUACUGACAGCGUCGCUGCUUUAGGGGAGGAUCAUGUCAUCGAUUAUAUAGACUUCUGGGUACAUGAACAAUGGAUGCCUGGUCUACUCAUCACAGAAGAGCAGUUCCACUAGGGAAUCCUGUGUUCCAGGAAUUCAAAUUUCUAAAUGCCCCCCCCCCCCGGUUCAAUUAGAGGCAGCUUUAUGUUCCCCUAUGUCGCGUCCCACCCAUUUGCCAUGGUAGUCAGGCUCUCCAUCUCACCCUGUCAGCUUCACAGAAAACGUUCUGGCUGGCUGGCUGGGGGAUUUACUGGAUCACUGUAAUACUAUUGUGUCCCAGUGGAUUGGCCUUGCAAUGACACGACGGCUGUGUUCCAAAAGGCACCCGCUUUCCAUGCCUUCCUAUUCAGGGCUCUUCCUAUGUCGCCCUGCUGGAAUCUUCUCUCAGCCCCAGCUAGCGCCGUGUGACACCCUUUAGACGGGUGUCUGGGUGGUUGAGUUGAGGGUUUAAUGCUGGGUCAUCGCUCAUUAGAAAUUGAAUGCUUAUAGGCAUAGCUGUGGUAUAUUCAAAUAGCCUUGGUAUAUUUAAACAAGGCACAAGGGGGUGUGGUGGACAGUCAGUAUACCACACCCCACAGAGAGGCCUUAUUGCUAUUAAAACUGGCUAGAACUACAGUUGAAAGUGAGGUGACAUGAUAUCCAUGGUGUACGCUCUCACACACCACUGCAAUCAGCCAAUCAGCAUUCACCAAUUAACACCAACAAGUCUACAACCGUGACAAAGCCAGUUAUAAUUGACAAAUAUUAACAAGUGCACAGAACAAAAACAGCUUCUCCCAAAGCCAGUUGUGUGUCUGCUCACUCUCUUUUGUGUCAUACAGCCAGACUGAAGGUUUCUCACGCACGCACACACACACACACACACACAGUUCCCUUCCAUUGCAAACCUGUGAUCUUUUCAAUACAUCCCAUUUAGAUAAUGUCCCAUUGUCCCUCAGCGUAAUAGUGCUAUUCUGAGCCCAUAACCUGCCAUGCUGCCAACAGGCAUCGUGGUGACAUCAAAGCCCUGUGCUCGCUGAGUCUACCCGUGUUGUUCUGGGCCCCUAACCUCCCCUUCAGAAACCACAUGCUGCCGUCCUGUUCCACUGUCUGGGAGCUUUAGUCCUAUUUUAAGACCUUAACCUGCUCAGAGAUGAAGUACAUGCUGUUUCUGCACGCAGUCCCCACUCCUCUCACUCCUCUCCCUCCACUCCUCUCCCUCACCUCUUCUCCCUCCCCUCCUCUCCCUCCACUCCUCUCCCUCCCCUCCUCUCCCUCCUCUCCCUCCCCUCCUCUCCCUCCUCUCCCUCCCCUCCUCUCCCCUCCUCUCCCUCCCCUCCUGUCCUCUCCCUCCCCUCCUCUCCCUCACCUCUUCUCCCUCCCCUCCUCUCCCUCCCCUCCUUUCUCUCUCUCCCCUCCUCUCCUCUUCCACUCACCUUCCAUCUCCUUUUUCGCUCCUGUCUCUUCCCUAUUUUUCACUUGUCUCCUCCCAGUUCUCCAUAUGCUCUGCUCCUAAGUGAUCUGCCAGUAGCUCUGUGUGUGUGUGUGUGUGUGUGUGUAUGUGCGUGUGCGGGCGUGUUCCCGUGUGCGUGUCUCCUUCAGCGGUGUCUGGACAAGACUGGACCAAAAGCAAGGAGACGUGAUCUUUAUAAUUGAUACCCUGGCCAGGACACACUCACACAAUCACCCACACAAACAUUUACAAAUAGGACACAAACUGGUCAUUAACAACCUGCCAAGCACGGGCAAUGAAAUAAAUACAGCGCUGAUUUCAAGUGUCUUUUCCCUCUAAAUGCCCACCCCCACACCAUGGAAACACCCUUUUCUGAUUCUCUUUACCUGUACUACAUGUUCUAGAGUAAUGGUUUAAACCUAACCGUUCUUAGCGGGUGUGACCCUCUGACCAUGCCUCUCUCUCUUCUUCCUCCUCCUCCUCUUCCUCUCCUGGGAAAAUCUCAGCAAACACUGCUCUAACUUUCAACACAUUGUGAUGUGUGCCGUUUAAUAGUAUUUAUGUACUGUAUUUUUUAUUUCAUUUUUUUGCCAACUUUGUAUAGUGUAUAAAUAUCUAUAAAUAUAUGACCAAUGACAGUACUGUAUAGAUGUUAGCUGCCUGGGGCUUCCAGGCAUAUAGUGUUUCUUUGGUAGACUAGAGGCUCUAUUCCAUUUCUAUCGCUGAAGCGUUUGAAGAUUGCUCCCCCGAAACAUCGGAGGUUACUUCCUGAUUGAUCCGACGCGCGCAGCGUUUACCGCGAAGGCAGUUCCCGCUGACACAUUGGAAUUCCAGUCACUCUGUUGACAGGUACUACGUCCGCAAUACAGAGGGAGUAGAGAGCCCUCAGAGAACCGGCGUAGAGCCGUUUUACAGCCGGUCAUUGGGGAAUUCUGCUGUGUGUAGAGCUCUGGUUUGUCACUGUGGUCCUUUUUCUAUUCUAGCUUGGUUUUUGUGUUGUUGUUUUUUAAAUACACCCGGUGGCAUCCAAUGUGUGUGUUGUUUCUUCCUUUUCCUUGUUUGUUUUCUCAUUUAUUUGUUAGUUUGUUGUUUUCCUGUCGAGACACAGCCGUUCUGGCGUCACAGGAGAGUGCACAGGAACGCAGAACAGAGCCCAGUCAGCUGGUUUGUUUGUUGGCGGCGGGUUAGCAUCGCUCCGGUCCUCCGCUGACCUCCUCUCUCUGCGUCAUUCAUGUCAUGUAACUACUGGCGUCUAAAUGUCUCCAAUGUCCGGAUCUUUCCUAAUCUGAUUGUGCCAAAAUUAUAAGACGGUGUGAGCAAAUAAAAGGUGCGUUCUAAUCUGAUUGUGAACAGAAGUGUGAAUGGACAGAAUUAAGACCAGAUCAGGAAAAUCUGAAAGUCAGGACCCGGUAGACAGGGUCAUGUCGUAUUA